rnacentral:rRNA from 1 species
GACAGAGGGUGCAAACGUUGUUCGGAAUUACUGGGCGUAAAGCGUGUGUAGGCGGCUUUGCAAGUCGGAUGUGAAAGCCCCGGGCUCAACCCGGGAAGUGCACUCGAUACUGCAGAGCUUGAGCGUGGGAGAGGUUGGUGGAAUUCUCGGUGUAGAGGUGAAAUUCGUAGAUAUCGAGAGGAACACCGGCGGCGAAGGCGGCCAACUGGACCACUACUGACGCUGAGACACGAAAGCGUGGGGAGCAAACAGG